rnacentral:pre_miRNA from 1 species
CGUACCUGGAUGUUAUCUCAGUGUUGGCAUGCAUAAGUUGGGUAAGACAUAUCUGAUCAAAAAUAUUUUUUGAGAUGAGAUGGAAUAUAUAUAUAUAUAUAUAUAUAUAUAUAUAUAUAUAUAUAUUGGUGUUUUACCUGGUCCAGGCAUGCCAAUUAUAGAGAUGACAUCUAGGUUGGGG